GCCCCAGUGGCGGAAUUGGUAGACGCGGCAGACUCAAAAUCUGUUGCCUUCACGGGCGUGCUGGUUCGAGUCCGGCCUGGGGCACCA
rnacentral:tRNA from 2 species